AUUUAUAUUAAUUAAAAUGUCUAGUCAUGAUAUAUUUAACCAAGUUAAGUAUAUGUAUGUUAGUAACUUGUGUAAAGGAAAGGUUAAAUGACAAAUAACAAUUUAAGUAAAUAGGGGGACUAAACUUGUUAAAAGAUGGAAGUAUUAUAAGUGUUAGUAAAUAAAAAAGAAAAACAUACAAACACCCACUGGAGUUUUGUGGGGAUCGACCAGAGCAAGGACCAGGAAGGCCAAAACCCUAAAUUCUGCAAAUUGGCAAAAUUGAAAGGGGAAUCAAGGCCAAAUCACAUGCAUGAACUCGAAACCUUAACUAUCUAAGCUAGUACAACAAGCAGCGUUAAGGAAGAAAGUUCGAGUCAAGUGAAGCAACAAGGGAAUCAAGACCGAGGUAAAUCUCAUGUCUAGCUUUCAAGCCUUGCCCGGAUCGAACACACCUCAAGCCCGUCAAGCGUUCCGCAUUUUGUAAAAGUUAAUGUUUACCAUUUGGUCACUUAUGUCUAUGCUUAGUAGUUAAACCUAGUUUCUAAUAUGUUUGUCUUUUGGUAAACUUGUCGUAAGUAUGUUCAUAAACUUAAUGGUUUUGUAAGUAAAAACAUGGUAUGUUUUGACGUAUAAAUUGUGUCUUUCGAA